rnacentral:rRNA from 1 species
AGUGAACGCUGGCGGCAUGCCUAAUACAUGCAAGUCGAGCGAACACACAGUAAGAUCGCGCUCUUGCGGGUAGCGAGUGGCGGACGGGUGACGAAUACAUAGGCUACCACUUUUUCGUGGGUGAUUUCGUAGAGCAACUUCCGCUACUACCGCAUAUGUUCUACGGCUGAAAGCAAUAGUUCAACGCACUUUUCGCGUUUCAUAUAGCCGAUGUCGGAUUAGCUAGUUGGCUGGGUAAGGGCCCACCAAGGCGACGAAGCGUAGCUGGUCUGAGAGGAUGAUCAGCCACACUGGAACUGAGACACGGUCCAGACUCCUACGGGAGGCAGCAGUGGGGAAUAUUGGACAAUGGGCGCAAGCCUGAUCCAGCCAUACCGCGUGGGUGAAGAAGGCCUUCGGGUUGUAAAGCCCUUUUGUUGGGAAAGAAAAGCAGCAGGUUAAUACCCCGCUGUUCUGACGGUACCCAAAGAAUAAGCACCGGCUAACUUCGUG